rnacentral:rRNA from 1 species
GUCGAACGCUGGCGGCGUGCCUAAUACAUGCAAGUCGAGCGGACAGAAGGGAGCUUGCUCCCGGAAGUUAGCGGCGGACGGGUGAGUAACACGUGGGCAACCUACCCUGUAGAUCGGGAUAACAUCGAGAAAUCGGUGCUAAUACCGGAUAAUCAUUUGAAGUGCAUGCUUCGAAUGUAAAAGAUGGCUCCGGCUAUCACUACGGGAUGGGCCGCCAGAGCAUUAGGUGGUUGGUAAGGUAAUGGCUUACCAAGGCAACGAUGCGUAGCCGACCUGAGAGGGUGAUCGGCCACACUGGGACUGAGACACGGCCCAGACUCCUACGGGAGGCAGCAGUAGGGAAUCUUCCGCAAUGGACGAAAGUCUGACGGAGCAACGCCGCGUGAGUGAUGAAGGUUUUCGGAUCGUAAAGCUCUGUUGUUAGGGAAGAACAAGUGCCGUUUGAAUAAGGCGGCACCUUGACGGUACCUAACCAGAAAGCCACGGCUAACUACGUGCCAGCCGCCGCCGUAACAC